UACGUAGGGUGCGAGCGUUGUCCGGAAUUAUUGGGCGUAAAGGGCUCGUAGGCGGUUUGUCGCGUCGGGAGUGAAAACCUUGGGCUUAACUCAGGGCUUGCUUUCGAUACGGGCAGACUAGAGGUAUGCAGGGGAGAACGGAAUUCCUGGUGUAGCGGUGAAAUGCGCAGAUAUCAGAAGGAACAUCAGUGGCGAAGGCGGCUUCCUGGACCAAUACUGACGAUCAGGUGCGAAAGCGUGGGGAGCAAACAGG
rnacentral:rRNA from 1 species